rnacentral:rRNA from 1 species
AACGUAGGUGGCAAGCGUUAUCCGGAUUCACUGGGCGUAAAGCGCAUGCAGGUGGCACUGUAAGUAGGGCAUGAAAUCUCCUGGCUUAACUGGGAGACGCUGUUCUAAACUGCAGAGCUUGAGGCUGAGAGAGGGAAGUGGAAUUGCCGGUGUAGUGGUGAAAUGCGUAGAGAUCGGCAGGAACACCCGUGGCGAAAGCGGCUCUCUGGGACGGUACUGGACGCUGAGA